AUUGAACGCUGGCGGCAGGCCUAACACAUGCAAGUCGAGCGGAGCGGCGGACGGGUGCGUAAUGCCUAGGACUCUGCCUGGGAGUGGGGGAUAACGUUCGGGAACGGGAGCUAUUACCGAUUACUCUUAGCGGCGCCUAGGUCGGAUUAGCUAGCUGGUGGGGUAAAGGCCUACCAGGGCGACGACCCGGAACUGAUCUGAGUGGAUGAUCAGUCACACUGGAACGGAGACACGUGCCAGACUCCUACGGGAGGCAGAAGUGGGGAAUAUUGGACAAUGGGCGAAAGCCUGAUCCAGCCAUGCCGCGUGUGUGAAGAAGGUCUUCGGAUUGUAAAGCACUUUAAGUUGGGAGGCGUUACCAACAGAAUAAGCACCGGCUAACUUCGUGCCAGCAGCCGCGGUAAUUC
rnacentral:rRNA from 1 species